ACCAGACUCCUACGGGAGGCAGCAGUGGGGAAUAUUGCACAAUGGGGGAAACCCUGAUGCAGCGACGCCGCGUGAGUGAAGAAGUAUUUCGGUAUGUAAAGCUCUAUCAGCAGGGAGGAAAAUGACGGUACCUGACUAAGAAGCCCCGGCUAACUACGUGCCAGCAGCCGCGGUAAUACGUAGGGGGCAAGCGUUAUCCGGAUUUACCGGGUGUAAAGGGAGCGUAGACGGCAUGGCAAGUCAGAUGUGAAAGCCCGGGGCUCAACCCCGGGACUGCAUUUGAAACUGUCAGGCUGGAGUGCAGGAGAGGUAAGUGGAAUUCCUAGUGUAGCGGUGAAAUGCGUAGAUAUUAGGAGGAACACCAGUGGCGAAGGCGGCUUACUGAACUGUAACUGACGUUGAGGCUCGAAAGCGUGGGGAGCAAACAGGAUUAGAUACCCCAGUA
rnacentral:rRNA from 1 species